rnacentral:rRNA from 1 species
ACGCUCGACACCUACGGGAGGCAGCAGUGGGGGAUAUUGCACAAUGGGGGAAACCCUGAUGCAGCAACGCCGCGUGAGGGAAGAAGGUUUUCGGAUUGUAAACCUCUGUCCCCGGGGAAGAUAAUGACGGUACCCGGGGAGGAAGCUCCGGCUAACUACGUGCCAACAGCCGCGGUAAUCUGAGCGGGCUGGCAAGGC